AGCAAAAAUACACUCACAAAAAAAUUUCGUAAAGCGUGAAUUACUAUUCUAAAUAUGGCAUUUCUUAAGUUCGGUUUCAUUUACGCAAUUGUUGUAAUGUCAGCCACUGUUAAUUUGAUGGAGUUCUCCAAGAUACAAGUAAUGGCUGCACGAGAUGUUGAUAAUGAUCUCUCAAAAAUCCAAGGAAGAUUACUCCCGCAACUUAAUACUUGUUUCAGAUCUUGUACGUCUAAUAGUGAUUGCAGCGACUGUUGGGUUUGUUGUUCCUGUGAUUACAUUACAUUCUAUACUUUCCAGUGCGGUAUUGGAGGGGGAUCACAUGUAUAACUCUAAAAUCCCAUUGAAACAAUCUGCUACAAAACAAUGUUACACAUUUAUGAUUUCAUGUAAUUUCUAUGUUUUCUUCCUUGUUUCAUUUCUCGUGUUUACCAUGUAUUGUGAGAAUAAUAAAGAAUGUCAAGUGAUGGCAUCAGAUUCAAGAAUAAAAAUAUAUUCAAAUCA